rnacentral:rRNA from 1 species
UCCAGCCAUGCCGCGUGUGUGAAGAAGGCCUUUUGGUUGUAAAGCACUUUAAGCGAGGAGGAGGCUACUGAGAUUAAUACUCUAGGAUAGUGGACGUUACUCGCAGAAUAAGCACCGGCUAACUCUGUGCCAGCAGCCGCGGUAAUACAGAGGGUGCGAGCGUUAAUCGGAUUUACUGGGCGUAAAGCGUGCGUAGGCGGCUUUUUAAGUCGGAUGUGAAAUCCCUGAGCUUAACUUAGGAAUUGCAUUCGAUACUGGGAAGCUAGAGUAUGGGAGAGGAUGGUAGAAUUCCAGGUGUAGCGGUGAAAUGCGUAGAGAUCUGGAGGAAUACCGAUGGCGAAGGCAGCCAUCUGGCCUAAUACUGACGCUGAGGUACGAAAGCAUGGGGAGCAAACAGGAUUAGAUACCCUGGUAGUCCAUGCCGUAAACGAUGUCUACUAGCCGUUGGGGCCUUUGAGGCUUUAGUGGCGCAGCUAACGCGAUAAGUAGACCGCCUGGGGAGUACGGUCGCAAGACUAAAACUCAAAUGAAUUGACGGGGGCCCGCACAAGCGGUGGAGCAUGUGGUUUAAUUCGAUGCAACGCGAAGAACCUUACCUGGUCUUGACAUAGUAAGAACUUUCCAGAGAUGGAUUGGUGCCUUCGGGAACUUACAUACAGGUGCUGCAUGGCUGUCGUCAGCUCGUGUCGUGAGAUGUUGGGUUAAGUCCCGCAACGAGCGCAACCCUUUUCCUUAUUUGCCAGCGGGUUAAGCCGGGAACUUUAAGGAUACUGCCAGUGACAAACUGGAGGAAGGC